UGUUAGUCUCUGCUGUGCAGACAUAGGACCCUGUGGCUUGGGUAAACAGCAAUAGUCCUGGCCAAGAAAAUUAGAGAUAUGGCAAAAACUACUUAUUUGAAAGUGUGUCAAGGGAAAAAUGGGUUGGUGAGGACUUAUUUAGAUCAGGGUCUGGCAAACUUUCUGUAAAGGGACAAAGAGUAAAUAUUUUGGACUUUGCAGAUCAUACAGACUCUGUUGCAGCCACUCAACUCUGCUUUGAAGCACGGAAGCAGACAUAGAAAAUACUUAAAAAGAUUGAUUAAUUUUUUGUCGACAAAGCAAAUCACUCAAAACCAUCCAACCAGUUACGUGAGGUUUGACUCCUUCACUCCUGGCUCCCAGAUGCCAUGAUUCCCCACCUGGACAGCUUCUCUUGGUUUCUCCCUGUGGAUCUUCAUUCUCAAAGUCAUGUCAACCUGGGCAGCAGGUCAUUGUUCAGCUGUAUGGGAGUGGCAGGUACAUGUGCUAUAGAGCACACACUAAGGGCUUGGCCACAGUCUGUGUGAAGACUGAGGAAUGUGGAUGUGAAUAUGUGUAACACCGAUGAUGGGAGGUAUGUGGUUCCAUCCACUUCACAGCUGUUCCCAUCAGUUGGAAUCCAGCCCAUCGUUUAAGGCCCAUCUCAGAGGACUCCUUCUCCACUGAACGGCACAGCUGGACGUGUUCUCCUUUCUCUCCAACUCUGGUGCCAGGACUGUUGGGGUGAAAGAAAAAAAAACAAGAAACUACUUGAGGGGUUGGGAAGGAUAGAUUUUGGAAUGACAACCUUUGUUUUACAUGAAAGUAAGAAUAUUUUAAAAUGUGCAAACAAAACCAUUUUCUUUUAAUUUUACCAAAGUCCAUAUGUUAAUUUAAAAUGUUGGAAGAACAUGUUUU